CGGGACACGUGGUAUCCUGUCUGAAUAUGGGGGGACCAUCCUCCAAGGCUAAAUACUCCUGACUGACCGAUAGUGAACCAGUACCGUGAGGGAAAGGCGAAAAGAACCCCGGCGAGGGGAGUGAAAAAGAACCUGAAACCGUGUACGUACAAGCAGUGGGAGCACAGAGCAAUCUGUGUGACUGCGUACCUUUUGUAUAAUGGGUCAGCGACUUAUAUUCUGUAGCAAGGUUAACCGAAUAGGGGAGCCGAAGGGAAACCGAGUCUUAACUGGGCGUUAAGUUGCAGGGUAUAGACCCGAAACCCGGUGAUCUAGCCAUGGGCAGGUUGAAGGUUGGGUAACACUAACUGGAGGACCGAACCGACUAAUGUUGAAAAAUUAGCGGAUGACUUGUGGCUGGGGGUGAAAGGCCAAUCAAACCGGGAGAUAGCUGGUUCUCCCCGAAAGCUAUUUAGGUAGCGCCUCGUGAAUUCAUCUCCGGGGGUAGAGCACUGUUUCGGCAAGGGGGUCAUCCCGACUUACCAACCCGAUGCAAACUGCGAAUACCGGAGAAUGUUAUCACGGGAGACACACGGCGGGUGCUAACGUCCGUCGUGAAGAGGGAAACAACCCAGACCGCCAGCUAAGGUCCCAAAGUCAUGGUUAAGUGGGAAACGAUGUGGGAAGGCCCAGACAGCCAGGAUGUUGGCUUAGAAGCAGCCAUCAUUUAAAGAAAGCGUAAUAGCUCACUGGUCGAGUCGGCCUGCGCGGAAGAUGUAACGGGGCUAAACCAUGCACCGAAGCUGCGGCAGCGACGCUGAUGCGUUGUUGGGUAGGGGAGCGUUCUGUAAGCCUGUGAAGGUGUGCUGUGAGGCAUGCUGGAGGUAUCAGAAGUGCGAAUGCUGACAUAAGUAACGAUAAAGCGGGUGAAAAGCCCGCUCGCCGGAAGACCAAGGGUUCCUGUCCAACGUUAAUCGGGGCAGGGUGAGUCGACCCCUAAGGCGAGGCCGAAAGGCGUAGUCGAUGGGAAACAGGUUAAUAUUCCUGUACUUGGUGUUACUGCGAAGGGGGGACGGAGAAGGCUAUGUUGGCCGGGCGACGGUUGUCCCGGUUUAAGCGUGUAGGCUGGUUUUCCAGGCAAAUCCGGAAAAUCAAGGCUGAGGCGUGAUGACGAGGCACUACGGUGCUGAAGCAACAAAUGCCCUGCUUCCAGGAAAAGCCUCUAAGCAUCAGGUAACAUCAAAUCGUACCCCAAACCGACACAGGUGGUCAGGUAGAGAAUACCAAGGCGCUUGAGAGAACUCGGGUGAAGGAACUAGGCAAAAUGGUGCCGUAACUUCGGGAGAAGGCACGCUGAUAUGUAGGUGAGGUCCCUCGCGGAUGGAGCUGAAAUCAGUCGAAGAUACCAGCUGGCUGCAACUGUUUAUUAAAAACACAGCA
rnacentral:rRNA from 1 species